rnacentral:misc_RNA from 1 species
CCUAGAGUUGUAGGCUUUGCCUGCUAUCUCUUACCCAUGUCUUUUGAGUACCUUACGUUUCCUCGGUGGGUUCGCCCACCGAUUGGACAAAUUUAAAUCCCUUUGCAGUUGAAAUCAGCGUCUGAAAAAACUUAAUAGUUA